rnacentral:lncRNA from 1 species
CCUUCUCCUCUCAAACUCUCUCUAACCCUCUCUGAAACCCCAGCCAUAUUCAGCCAGUUUCCACCUUAUUUCUCCGGAAUCAAUGGCACCCAACCCCUAGGUGGCAUGUACUCACCUCCAUGUGCCCUUAUACCACUGUCACUUGAAGAUUCAAGGUUCGGUCUUGAAGGCCUUCGCUCAUAUCUUCGCCGAUUCGAGUUCCACGGUCAUCUCCGGCUUGACUCUGGCAUAUCCUAGCCCUAUAAGCCUAUCUAUGACUCAUUCAACUCGGAACAGACCUUUUCCAGGCCUUUUCACUUCUAGGGUUCUUCUGAAACUCUAGUCUUUCGAGGUUCUCCUAAUUUCUCUAGAUCUGCUCUAGAUAUGUGUUUAUUUUAAGGUUUUAAAACGAUCCUCUAAGUUUCUUUUUUAAAACUGUAGUCUCAAAACUGUUCAUCUUCUUCGACUUAGGAUUUCUUUGAUUUUACUUGUUUUACUGUGAUUCCUGAGUGUUACUCUUACUGUAUUUGCUCUACUGUAACUCCUAUGUGUUUCUACUGUGAUUCCCAUAUGUUUUCU